rnacentral:piRNA from 1 species
UAUAGUAUUGCCUGUAAAUCGAU